rnacentral:sRNA from 1 species
UUCUAGCCCUGAUGGAAGCGGCAUCCUUUUGUGGUGGGGUUCACCACAAAAGAUACAGCGGACAGCAGGAUUAGCU